GUCCGUUAAAAUUACGAAGUGAUGAUUUCAGCUUCCCAAUGCUUCACUAUUGGGAAGCUGAAACCAACUCUUUUGACGUAAAUCCUAAUACAGUGGCAAAAUCAAUAGCUCAAACAUAUCAAACGAAGGGAUAGUGUGUGCGUUUAGCUGUGUUCAUAUAAAUUCAUUGUGCAUGGAAGCAUUGUACACGUAUCAUUGUGUCAUUGUGUAAUUGUGGAUAAUUGAACAUCCCAAGGUGAUAUUAUAAAUUGGUGGAUAUUGUUAAUACAUGUUGUAUAUAUGUGUUAACGUGUUUAUACAUUUUGUGUGAUAUUUCAUGAUGCAUAUUGCAUAGAAAUCCAUUGGUGACUUUGUGAAAUAAAGUGUCUGAGGCAUGUUGAAUAGUGAUAUAUUAGUGACAUUGUGGAUAAUCAGGCCUAAUACCCUAUCAAUCAUGAUAUUGGAUUAUUGUACAACUAACAAAUUAGGUGGUCAGAAUGAUUUUUAAAAGAUUUACUGAAAUAACCAUUCUGAUCGGUCAAAAGAGAAGGUUACUUUCCACAACAUGAAAUUUUGUGUCUAGAACAUAGGAGAUUAUCCGAUUGUGUAGAAUAGUUUCUUCAAAUCAGAAGCAUGUCUUUUGGAUGAACUUUUGUAAACAGGAUACUUUUUGAUUUCUUGGAAUAGUUUCUUCAAAUCAGAAGCAUACAUAUUGGACAAAUUUUUGUAAACAGGUAUUCAAAUAACUGUUAAUAAACAUGCAAAACACCGCUAUCAAGACAACCAACUGCACAUUUAGUCUUCCUAUUAUAACGGCGAUCUUGUAUGUAGUUCAGGUUUGUGAAUAAUAUUUACUAAACGUUAAAAGUAAAAUAACAAAAAGAUACUUAACUUUGAGGAAAAUCAAUUUGGAAAGUCCAUAAUCACAUGGCAAAACAUAAUACCAAAACGCAUCAAAAACGAAUGGACAAGAACUCAUAUUCCUGACUUGGUAAAGGCAUUUUCAAAUUUAGAAAAUGGUGAAUUAAACCUGG